UUAUUUACUCCUCUGGACGUUCCCCGUAACAGAUGAGGAAACUAGGACACGGAGCAGACAGGUGGCUGAAGGCAGGAUCUCCCAGACUUUGAUCAGGAAGAGUCUUUGCUGGCAGCGCAUCUAUCAAUGUCUCCAGAACAACGUUCCUCAUGGCACACUGAUCGAACGCGCUCCUCCUGCUCCACGUGUUCAAAACCAGCCUGAGCAUCCCGCAGCCCCGUCUGACUUCUUCUCCGAGUGGAUGAUGCUGCUGUUCGGCCCGGUCACCGAGAGGAACGUGCUCUUCCUCUCCCUCCUGUUGCAGCGUCUGAGCUUCAGGCACCUCUCACCUCUUACCUGGGCUCCUGGAGGAGCUUCUGUUUGGUCUGCCCAACUCCCGCGUUGCCCCUUCAAAUGCCCCCUCCACUCCGCAGCCACCAUGACCCUCGCUGACCCCCCGCUCUGCUGACGGCAGGUGCCCCCAAGUGUGUUUCCAAGAAGAUGCAAUCAGUGUGCUGUAUUCAGUGUUAUAUGAACACAAAGGUUUUCAUGGUCAUGAAGUUGGAGAAAAGAGGGAAAAUUAGUUAGGUUUAAUUACUUUCCAGAGUCUUCGACAUGCUAAAACACAUUUUGGAGCUCCAACUGGGGGGUGCUUAAUAAAACCUUUGGCAAACUUUCUAGCAACAAAGGUGUAGUUUUUUGGAAUACACUGGAUAUAGCUGUUCUACGAGCUGAAAUGUGAUUUCCUUGUCUUCUCUCAUUGCUUUUCAUCUCCAGCUACUCUUCUUGUGUAGACAGUGGGAGGACAGCAGUGUGGUACUCUGGAUUCAAGAACAGGAAGCUCUAAAUCUCAGCACAAGACUUUGGGUCCAACUCUUUACUUCCUCAGCACACGUGCUGGCCAGGCCCC
rnacentral:lncRNA from 1 species